rnacentral:rRNA from 1 species
UACGGAGGGUGCAAGCGUUGUCCGGAUUUAUUGGGUUUAAAGGGUGCGUAGGCGGCCGUUUAAGUCUGGGGUGAAAGCCCGUUGCUCAACAACGGAACUGCCCUGGAAACUGGAUGGCUUGAGUACAGACGAGGUUGGCGGAAUGGAUGCUGUAGCGGUGAAAUGCAUAGAUAGCAUCCAGAACCCCGAUUGCGAAGGCAGCUGACUAGGCUGUAACUGACGCUGAGGCACGAAAGCGUGGGGAGCGAACAGG